UAAUCAAUCAUAUAAAAUAUAAAUACAUAAUUAAUGUACAUAUUUUUAUUUUAGGCUUAGAUGUUGCCUCAAUUUACUGCCUUAAGAAAUGCCUGGAUUGAAAGAUAUGUCGAUGCAACAACCAGGAAAUAAUAACAAAAGAGAGCUUAACGAAAAACCAAUUAUGCCGUACCACCGAAACAGCGUCAAUUCAAAUGGAUACUCAACAGGUACACGA